rnacentral:rRNA from 1 species
AGCGCAGGCGGGAAGACAAGUUGGAAGUGAAAACCAUGGGCUCAACCCAUGAAUUGCUUUCAAAACUGUUUUUCUUGAGUAGUGCAGGGGUAGAUGGAAUUCCCGGUGUAGCGGUGGAAUGCGUAGAUAUCGGGAGGAACACCAGUGGCGAAGGCGGUCUACUGGGCACCAACUGACGCUGAGGCUCGAAAGCAUGGGUAGCAAACA